rnacentral:rRNA from 1 species
GAUGAACGCUGGCGGCGUGCCUAAUACAUGCAAGUCGAGCGAACAGACGAGGAGCUUGCUCCUCUGACGUUAGCGGCGGACGGGUGAGUAACACGUGGAUAACCUACCUAUAAGACUGGGAUAACUUCGGGAAACCGGAGCUAAUACCGGAUAAUAUAUUGAACCGCAUGGUUCAAUAGUGAAAGACGGUUUUGCUGUCACUUAUAGAUGGAUCCGCGCCGCAUUAGCUAGUUGGUAAGGUAACGGCUUACCAAGGCAACGAUGCGUAGCCGACCUGAGAGGGGGGUGGGCCAGCCGGGAGGAGAGACACGGCACAGACGACGACGGGAGGCGGCAGGAGGGAAUAGGGGACAAGGGUGGAAAGCAGGAAGGAGAAAAGUGGGAGGAGAGAGGAAGGUCGUAAGAUAGUAUACACGUGUUAAGAGAAAAGAACACAAGUGUAAGUACAUGUGCACACCCAGACGGCACCUAAAAAGAAAGCGACCACUAACCCCGUG